CAAACCAAAAGACUGGCGACCGGCCGGCACGGGUGAGUAACACGUAUCCAACCUGCCUCAUACUCGGGGAGUAGCCUUUCGAAAGAAAGAUUAAUAUCCGAUAGCAUAUAUUUCCCGCAUGGGUUUUAUAUUAAAGAAAUUCGGUAUGAGAUGGGGAUGCGUUCCAUUAGUUUGUUGGGGGGGUAACGGCCCACCAAGACUACGAUGGAUAGGGGUUCUGAGAGGAAGGUCCCCCACAUUGGAACUGAGACACGGUCCAA
rnacentral:rRNA from 1 species